CACGUAGGGCGCAAGCGUUGUCCGGAAUUACUGGGCGUAAAGAGUGUGUAGGCGGUGUUCCCAGUCUGUUGUGAAAUCUCCCGGCUUAACUGGGAGGGUGCAGCGGAAACUAGAAUGCUAGAGGGUGGGAGAGGUAAGCGGAAUUCCUGGUGUAGCGGUGAAAUGCGUAGAUAUCAGGAGGAACACCUGUGGUGUAGACAGCUUACUGGACCACUUCUGACGCUGAGACACGAAAAGCGUGGGGUAGC
rnacentral:rRNA from 1 species